GCCUACGGGACGCAGCAGUGAGGAAUAUUGGUCAAUGGACGCAAGUCUGAACCAGCCAUGCCGCGUGCAGGAAGACGGCUCUAUGAGUUGUAAACUGCUUUUGUACGAGGGUAAAUCCCGAUACGUGUAUCGGGUUGAAAGUAUCGUACGAAUAAGCAUCGGCUAACUCCGUGCCAGCAGCCGCGGUAAUACGGAGGAUGCGAGCGUUAUCCGGAUUUAUUGGGUUUAAAGGGUGCGUAGGCGGUCCGUUAAGUCAGCGGUCAAAUUGCGGGGCUCAACCCCGUCGAGCCGUUGAAACUGGCAGA
rnacentral:rRNA from 1 species